rnacentral:misc_RNA from 1 species
UCACCCGAAGUCCUUGACGUCCCUCCCAUCCAGGGGCACCCUUUUCUCCCUUGUAUCCCUUGAGUCCCGCAUCGCCAGAUCUUCCAGGUCGACCCUCCAAACCAGGCUCUCCCCAAUCUCCUUUUUGCCCCGGUGGACCCCUUUCUCCUAUGUCCCCGAUGUAGUCGAACACCGAACCGGGUUCUCCGCGUUCUCCCGGUAGCCCGAAAUAACCGUCUUGACCCGGCGCUCCGUCUAGUCCAGGAGGGCCAACGAUCGUCAAACCUGGGAAACCCUUCGGUCCCAUUUCUCCCUGGGGUCCUGGCAAUCCGUUCGGUCCUUGAAGACCUCUUGCACCGGUUGCUCC